rnacentral:rRNA from 1 species
UUGAACGCUGGCGGCAGGCCUCACACCUGCAAGUCGCGCGGAUGAAGGGAGCUUGCUCCUGGAUUCAGCGGCGGACGGGUGAGUAAUGCCUAGGAAUCUGCCUGGUAGUGGGGGAUAACGUCCGGAAACGGGCGCUAAUACCGCAUACGUCCUGAGGGAGAAAGUGGGGGAUCUUCGGACCUCACGCUAUCAGAUGAGCCUAGGUCGGAUUAGCUAGUUGGUGGGGUAAAGGCCUACCAAGGCGACGAUCCGUAACUGGUCUGAGAGGAUGAUCAGUCACACUGGAACUGAGACACGGUCCAGACUCCUACGGGGGGCAGCAGUGGGGAAUAUUGGACAAUGGGCGAAAGCCUGAUCCAGCCAUGCCGCGUGUGUGAAGAAGGUCUUCGGAUUGUAAAGCACUUUAAGUUGGGAGGAAGGGCAGUAAGUUAAUACCUUGCUGUUUUGACGUUACCAACAGAAUAAGCACCGGCUAACUUCGUG